AUACAGAGGGUGCAAGCGUUAUUCGGAAUUACUGGGCGUAAAGCGCGCGUAGGCGGAUGAUUAAGUCAGUUGUGAAAGCCCUGGGCUCAACCUAGGAACUGCAUCUGAUACUGGUCGUCUAGAGUUUAAGAGAGGGAAGUGGAAUUCCAGGUGUAGCAGUGAAAUGCGUAGAUAUCUGGAGGAACAUCAGUGGCGAAGGCGACUUCCUGGCUUAAAACUGACGCUGAGGUGCGAAAGCGUGGGUAGCGAACGGGAUUAGAUACCCGAGUAGUCC
rnacentral:rRNA from 1 species